rnacentral:rRNA from 1 species
GACAGAGGUCCCGAGCGUUAGGCGGAAUCACUGGGCUUAAAGCGUGUGUAGGCGGAUCGUUAAGUGCCUUGUGAAAUCCCACGGCUUAACCGUGGAACUGCUUGGCAUACUGGCGGUCUUGAGCCACUUAGGGGCAACCGGAACAAAUGGUGGAGCGGUGAAAUGCGUAGAGUAUCCUGAGGAACACCGGUGGCGAAAGCGGCGCGCUGGAUCCCUUCUGACGCUGAGGCGCGAAAGCCAGGGGAGCAAAGCGGG